rnacentral:tRNA from 1 species
UCCCCGAUGGCUCAGAGGGUAAAGCACCAGCCUGCAAUGCGGGAGACCGGGUUCGAUCCCUGGGUGGGGAA